rnacentral:tRNA from 1 species
AAAUAUAUUAUUAAAAAAACUUAAGAUUUUAAAAUAAACAUUUUAUAUUAUUUAAAAAUAAUACAUAUUUUCAAUAAAUCUGAAAUCUAUAUUAAAAAAAUAUUUAAUUAAAUGUAUUCUUUAAAUAUCAAGUAGACCAAUUAUUUAAAAAAGAAAUAUUUCAAUAUUUUAAAUAACUUUAAAAAUAAUAACAUAUCCUAUAUAAAAUAUUAAAAAUAUUUUAUUUUUA